UACGGAGGGUGCGAGCGUUGUCCGGAAUCACUGGGCGUAAAGGGCGCGUAGGCGGCGCGAGCAGUCGAUCGUGAAAGUCCGGAGCUCAACUCCGGAUCGGCGGUCGAUACUCUCGUGCUUGAGCACUGUAGAGGCAGAUGGAAUUCCGGGUGUAGCGGUGGAAUGCGUAGAGAUCCGGAAGAACACCGGUGGCGAAGGCGGUCUGCUGGGGCAGUUGCUGACGCUGAGGCGCGACAGCGCGGGGAGCAAACAGG
rnacentral:rRNA from 1 species